rfam:Brachypodium distachyon strain Bd21 chromosome 3, whole genome shotgun sequence.
UUUAUACUCCCUCCGUCCCAUAUUAAGUGACUCAAAUUUGUCUAAAAAUGGACAUAUCUAUAUACAAUAUGUCUAGAUACAUGUAGUAUUUCGACACUUAAUAUGGGACGGAGGGAGUACAUC